UAUUUACAUUACAUAUCUUGCCGAAUCCUAACCACUAGGCCACUGGUAAACUCCCGAGAAUGAGAUAUUUAAUGUAAAUAAAUUUUUAGAUAACUGUAUUUCAUCCCUCAAAUGUAGCAAUUUUUAAAAUGACAAUUUUUUAUUUUAAAGCUUGAUAAUAUUUCCUUGCUUUCUUGGAAUUGUUUGUCUCUUCUUUUGGAGUUAGCUAUCUUUUCUGUCAGUAUACCUGCUUUCUUACAAAGCCAGUUUGAUUCACUGCUGUUUUGAGAAAUCGUAUCACCAAGGCUGUGAGAAUAUUGUAUGAGCUGAUAAUCAGUAAGUGCUGAAUUGUAGCUUGAGGAUGUGCCCUACAAAUACAAGUCAUAAAUUUGAAUGAGUUUGGGCCCUAUUUGUAUAUUUUUAUUUCUUGACUAUAUUCUGGAUAAUGCUCUGAAUAAUUGCAGUUAGGUUUGUAAAAUGCAUUAACUAAUGCUUUUAAUAAAUAUGAUUGAGACAAACAAAAGGGAUAAAGAAUAGUAUAAUACCAAUGUACCAACCACUCAAUUUAAGAAAUAAAAUGUUACUAAUACUGCUGUAUCUUUGAGUCCUUAUGAUGUGCCAAGUACUCUUCUAGGCAUUGUAUAUAUAGCAGUAAACAAAACAAAAAUCCCUGUCCUCAUGGAGUUUACAGUUUAGGAAGGAACUUACCAUUGCCUAAUAAUUGUUAGUGUUCUUGUUUUCAACAUUUCCCCAUCAUUUGUAGAAUGCUGAUUUGAAUUUUGUGUGAUCAUGAAUAUUAGGCAGAAUGAUUAUUGGCACUGAAUGCAAAUAAAGAACUAAUAGGCACUGAAGGAUGUUCUGUCAGGACAUUUGGCUUGGUGGAAUGUAUUUUGUACACACUAAGACAUUUAAUCUCUAAUAUUUGGCUUCAUUGCAUAGUCAACAUUAUCCUAUUGUUGGUAAACCUAGAUUCAUUAGGUCCAUAAGGAAAAGGUUCUGGGCCACCUCAAGUAAUGUUCUUGUGUGUACUUUAGUGAAGGAAAUAUAGCUUAUCUUUUGAGGCAGUUGAAAGAAAAUUGGCGUUUCAAAUUGAAAACUAAAACUUGAAAGAAAAAGUGGCACCUUAGAUCCAUUAACUUAGAUUUACUCUUUUUGUGAUAGACAUGAAAACUUAAACAAUGGUGAUAUACUGUAAAGAAAACUAGAAGAAGUAGCACUUUGAAUUACAGAUUUAGUGUUUCUUGUGAUGAACUAGAAACUUAAAAAAAAAAAUCUGUAGUGUACUAUGAAGAAAACCACAAACUAGAGCACUAUGAAAGAAACCAGGGUAAAUAGAAAUGAACAAACAUCAAAGUUAGCAUUAGACUAUAUAAUGCCUUCUAAACACUUUUUCU